GUCAUCUAAAAAUGACUAGUGUUCCUAAACAUGAUGUGAUUUCACAAGCUUAAACAUGUCUGACGUUCUUUUCUAACCUUUGCUGGAUGCUUCAACAGUGUUUGGCUGUCAAUAAUUUACCCUGGCUGAUUGAGUUUAUACUUGCCUGCUUUGUGAAUAAAAGUGUUUGGAUUACAAAGAAGAGAUUGAGUUAUCCUGCAGAGAGAUGGUGCAAUAAGCAGAUUUUUCUCUUCUUUCAUCCACAGCAUUAUUUCAGCUGGGAGCUGUAGUAUGUGACUAAUUAGCCAAUGGAAGUCCACUCUCUGGACUUUCUGGUGGUAUAUUUACACUGAAUUCUGGCCUGAUAAUAAAGGUGUCACCCAGUGUAACAAUGUGACACACCCAGAGUGAAGAAGAAAAGUCUAAGAUAACACAGAGCCUCUGUCAGCCCUCAAACUUAUUUUUCACAAGCUUCAGCAAUAUUCCAAACAACAAAAGAAAUAUGACUGAACAGACACAAAUUUUGAGGACAUAUUUUUUCCCCAGUAUUUUUUUAACAGGUACUACUGAUGUCCCAGUGCUUUUGAGGGUCUUGUUUGUCCUCCUGGAUGCUUUAGGAAGUUACCACUUUCAGCUCACCUAGAGCUGAUCUCAUUAAUAAAAGAAUGACUUUACAGAAAAGAGUUUCUAAAAUUAUACUCUCACUCAGAAUUGCAAGAGUUGGCUUUUCAGCCUGAAGAUAAAUUUCUUAAGCAUUAAGCUUACUUUAUCAAGUAUUACACCUGACAUUCUCUCAUAAAUUUUGCAUAUAUUUUAACUAAUUUUAAUAUUGUGUGGGCUUGGUUUAUAAUAUUCUCAUGCAGUUACUAAAGUUGAAUCUUCUCAGUCAUAUAUUAGUUGUAAGAAUGCUUAACCCCUUCCAAAAUAUCACUCACUUAAAAUCACAUCAGCUAAGUCUCCUCUUAUUUUUGCUUAUUUCUUGGUUAUUUACCAUGCAUUUUGUGUAUGUUGGAACCAGCCAUGCAGUCGUUGUAUUCCUUUUUUGAGAGGGCAAAUGUAUUUUGACAAGGUUGCUAUUGGAAACACUUUUUAAAUAUCUCAUGUGUCACAUCACAAUCAGCAUCAUAAUCUGAUCAGGUGGAUUAAUUUCAGAAGGCAGCAGAGGGCAUUGCUUACAGGGGUCACAGACAUUCAGAUCAUGGCAGAACUGUCACAGAUGUUACUUUGUGAAAACACAAAGAAUAAUGUGUUUGGAGAGAUCAGUCUUCAAUUAGCUAUAUUUUCUAGGAGCCUACCUUUACUUAGCCUCACAACAUGGGCCUUAGCUUUAGCACUUAAUCUGCACAAAUACCUGGCUUAAGUGUUAUGACUGACUGGCUAUUCAACCAAACCAUACAAAUGACCAAUUCGGUAAGAAAGCAUGAACUUCAGUGUUGAACCAAAUCAACCAACCUCCUCAAUCCAAAUGAACAAUGCUAUUCUAGGAGUCUGUGCUAGAAUAAAAUCCUAAUGCAAAGGCUGUCUUAAAAUGCUGAACCCAGAAGAAUUUGGCAUAAAUAAGACAUGGAGUUAGCUGACAUGAGAUAUUACAUUUAUUCCACUGUUGACGAGGACAAAACUGGGCCGCUAUUGUCACAGGAGAGGAUAACAAAGGAAGCUGAGGAAGUCUGUUCUGGAGGCACCAUGACAAAGCACCAGACAGAAAGCAGUCACGUGUGGGGAGAUGAGCAGAGACACCACUUCUCAAGCACCUGAUUAUUCUUUCUCAGUAUUUAGAAGCAAAAAUUAUCCUUAAGAAAAACAACCGCAAACGCAACACAGGCUACACAGAUGAGAAAAUGGGGCUUGCAGAGCUCAAACCAUUACACCAUUCAGAAGCUGGCUUUGGUAUUACUUCAAGUUAUUCAAAACAGUCACCACUUGCUGAGCCUCUGAUGUCUCAUCUGUUGAAUGGGUACAUUUUCUUCCUGAUCCUUCCACCUCUAAACUUGUCUAUUUCCAAGGAUCUAUGGCAUCCAGGCAUAUGAUUUCAAGAGAGAAGGCUGAAAAGGAAGGUGACUGGAAUAUUAAGAACUGUGAGAUAUUCUGAGGAAACUCUAAUUUGUAAAUUGGUAGAAAUGCCAGUAAUUUGUUGGGAAUUGAAGACCCUCUGUAUUCAAGAGCGAAGCUUGGCAGCUGUGCACUGUUGUUUUAUAAAUCAAUAUUACAUCUGAAGGUGGUGUUUGAAUGUUUGUGUCAUUGGGGUUUGUCUCCAACAUAGUCCUGUGACAAGAAAUGUUCAAACAAAACAAACACAAUCCCUUCCCUGUCCUUUAGGAUAAAGUCCAAACGUAAUUCCACAACAGGGAUAUAACAUUCAAAUCAACUACAGAACUUCUGUAAUUAUAUAAAACCCCACGACCACAGAAAUGCAAUUGAAUUGAAGACACUUUGCAAUAUUCCCCAAGAAAGGACUGUGUGGCUGUCAGAUUAACAAAAGUCAAGAGGUGGUGAGACAAUGCUCACCAUUGCAAAAAAGAGCUUUGUGCAUAAUGAACAGAAUUUGCAUGCCUGUUUAGGAAAUUAAGGUGAAGCCAAGGUGACUUAGGGUCACAUGAGGAGUCACAAC
rnacentral:lncRNA from 1 species